GCCAUGUUGGCCAGGCUGGUCUUGAACUCCUGACCUCAGGUGAUCUGCCCACCUCGCCUCCCAGAGUGCUGGGAUUACAGGCGUGAUCCACCGCGCCCGGUCCAUAACCUGGUUUUAAUCAUCAAGUUAUAAUUUUUUCCGUUCUUAGUGCGGGAGGGGGCUUGUGACAGUUACCUGGCAGUAAGUACAUAAGGCAGACAUCUACAUUAUUUACAGAGGGUCCUCUCACUUUCUUGCCUCCCCACUUCCUCCACACCCUGGGCAGGGACCAUUUUCUCUGCAAUAUUUGCUAUCAACGCUGUUUCAAUUCAGUUUGCUGGCCCUCCCAGUUUUUCCAGCUUGAAACAACACCUGAAAAGUACCUGUAAGAUAUUUUGGUCGAAUUCAGCGGCAAUCUGGAAAAUCCCUUCUCAAAAUCCCUUCUGCUCAUUCCUUAAAAUAGUUCAGGUCUCUAAGAGAACUGCAAUGGAGUAAAUAACAUACAGGGUUUUGCCCUUCGUUGCUCUGAUAAGGGCUGGCACGGUAGAAGCGCAGAGCCUGAACACCCAGGAGACACGUGUCAGCUUGGUGAAUGAAGGCUUGCGCCGGCCUGGCAUUUCUGCUACCUCUAAGCGCGGAGAGUAUUAGCUGAAUGGUAGGGGAGGGUGUGGUUGGAAUCUUCUCCAGGAAGGGAGUGACAGAUAGGUUUCAGUGCUAGGGAGAUGGCGGCUCAAUGGGUUAGGCGACGCGUGGACAGAGCUUCCUAGUCUCGGGAUAAGCAAGAUUGAGCCCCACAGCUGUAGGCCAUGCGGGGAAGGAGGUGUGGGAGCCUGAAGCGGCGUACACGGCUACCUGGUGUGCUCUGCAUUUUCCUGUCCUUGGAAGUCCUUCCCAAGAGUUCGUUUUACACCCACACAAACAAGACCUCAAGCGUCCCAGAAACGUCAGCAGUUCAUUCUGCGGAGGUGAGUGCCGGGCUCGGCGCUCUGCUCCUGGAGCUCCCGCGGGACUGCCUGGGGACAGGGACUGCUGUGGCGCUCGGCCCUCCACUGCGGACUUCUCCUGAGUGGGUGCGCCGAGUCAUGGAGGGCGCAGAGCUGGCCGGGAAGAUCCUUUCCACCUGGCUGACGCUGGUUCUUGGCUUCAUCCUUCUGCCUUCAGUCUUCGGAGUGUCUCUGGGCAUCUCCGAGAUCUACAUGAAGAUCCUGGUGAAAACUUUAGAGUGGGCCACAAUACGAAUUGAAAAAGGAACCCCAAAGGAGUCGAUUCUUAAAAACUCUGCUUCUGUUGGUAUUAUCCAAAGAGAUGAGUCACCCAUGGAAAAAGGGCUCUCUGGUCUACGAGGAAGGGACUUUGAGCUGUCUGACGUGUUUUAUUUCUCCAAGAAGGGAUUGGAAGCCAUUGU
rnacentral:lncRNA from 10 species